CACGAGGAGCUUGGUCCUCGGUGGCAAGUGGCGAACAGGUGAGUAAUAUAUCGGAACAUGUGCAUUAUCGAGGGAUAACUACUCGAAAGACUGUCUAAUACCGCGCACGUCCUACAGGAGAAAGCAUGGGACCUUCGGGCCUUGCGCUAUUGCAGUGGCCGAUAUCGGAUUAGCUAGAUGGUGGGGUAAAGGCCUACCUAGGCGACUAUCCGUAGCUGGUUUGAGAGGACAACCAGCCACACUGGGACUGAGACACGGCCCAGACUCCUACGGGAGGCACCAGUGUGGAAUUUUGGACAAUGGGGGAAACCCUGAUCCAGCCAUCCCGCGUGUGCGAUAAAAGCCUUCGGGUUGUGAACAAGGGAUGGGCUCGUGCGGGACUUAACCCAACAUCUCACGACACGAGCUGACGACAGCCAUGCAGCGCCUGUGUUGUGGUUCUGUUGCGAGCAGUCACAAAUCACUUCUGGAUUCCAGACAUGACAUGGGUACGUGAGGUUGUUCGCGUCGCAUCGAAUUAAUCCACAUCAUGCACCGCUUGUGGGGGUCCCCGUCAAUUCCUUUGAGGAGUAAUCUUGCGACCGUACUCCUCACGCGGUCAACUGCAUACGGCAGCUGCUCUACUAAUGACCGAAGGAACCCCUCCUCGCUGACAUCGCAUAGGGUACGGACUGCACUGCCAUGGAAUCUAGUCUGGUCCGCACGCUAUGCUGUAUGACCGUAGGGCUAUCACAGGCGGUGAGUUCCCUUCGGAGUGGGUUCCACAUAUCGCACUCAUUGCUCGCUCGCAUGAAUCCACUCUGACCACUGUAGCCAGUAGCCAGAUUGAAUGCCAUGCCAGGUCAGGGAGGGCCAUCAAUCUUACUAACAAACGCCAGGCUUACUUACGCCAUUCAAUCAGACAAGCUUGUACCUAUAUAUAGCUGGUGGCUGGACUAGCUAGGCUGGCUUCUGGUACGUCACCCACGGAGGAUGAUCUCGGCGAUUCUUUCUGCCAAAUGGCGUACUUCCGAACGCAUGCUUUCUUACUCAGAUGCUUGAUCGGGAUACUUCAUGCCUAAAUACAUACGCAGGGUCCCUACGAAAGAGUCGGGCCUGUCCAGUCCGGGUGGGCGACCCCCAAUCAGGUCGGAACGAUCCUGGCUAGGCUAACCCUACCACCAACUACAAUGCCGCCGGUCCAUCGUAAGGGCCGAAGGACCUGCUUUCUCUGAGGAAUUAC
rnacentral:rRNA from 1 species